rnacentral:misc_RNA from 1 species
AGUUCAGCAGCAAAAAUAAUGUGGACCUUCUCUGCCACUUUUUAAGAAGAAAGAAGGAGACCAUGACAACGAAUAGAUUAGUUGCCAAAUCACAAAAUUAUUAGGCAUCUGACGGUAACAACGAUGAUCAUUAUAAUGGAGGUCUUCAUUCUUCGAGAUGGAAGACGGCAUCAGUAAUGAUUAGAUUUAACUGCUAAAGUCUAGUGACCAAGCAUUAACAUUAAAAAAUUAUUGGCAGUAAAUAGUUGAAUCUAUGCCCAGUUCAACCCUAAAUUAACUAGUUAUCCAAGUGGCCUCCCAAUUGCUUUCAAUGCCGGUAAAAUUGCUACCAUUACCUUCACAAGAUCAAAGCAUAAAUGCGUUGCCUAGACUGAAACAAGAAUAUAACCUCUCUAAAGAAACAAAACAGAGUCAGCCUCUUGCGCAUCAUAGCCUUAGUAUGCCGAUAGCCACGUGCCGGACAAAUUGUCUGGAAAACAUGGAAAGUGUAAGCUUAUAAUAUUUAAACAUAUCAUUCUUUUCUGCACAGGUUCAGGAGUCGCAGGGAGAAUUGAUUCUUUCAACAAGGUAGGAGAAAUAAUUACAAUUACUUUCUACGAUGAAAUAAAUCAACAAGGUGCUAUCCCCACACACACGGGGGGCAAACGUAGGUGGGGAAAUAUCCUUGGAGAAGUACAGAAGAAUUAAGACAUAACAUGUAUAAGGGCUAAGAAUAAAAUGCAUACAAGCAAAUAAGCAAUUGCACAUGCUUAAUGUCUAUCAAAAUGCAUUCCUCUAGACCUUCAGGAACGCCAAAAUCAAUCGCUACUUGACUAUACCUUAGAACCAAGACACAACCACACAUCAAAAGCUUCAAACCAAUCAUCAUAACUCUAUAAGCAAACUUAAGAUAACUAUUUGUAUCAUUGGUACCUAGUACCAUUCAACAGUAUAAUCUCUGCUCCCCACCAAGGCCACAAUUAUGGAUAACACUAUCACAUCAACUUGCUGCUUGCAAAUAUUGCAAUUGCUAGGGUGGGCCACCUCCACAUCGACACCCUUCCACUGAAAGGAAGCUAAAUUGUGGUACUCACUCUGACAGCCUUUCCUUAGUUGAAUUAGCAUGUGUUUAGGUUUAAUGCUACUGAAAAAAUAUGAAAACUUACUCCACAAUUCCAACUUAUUUUUUAUCAUGUCUGUUAUUAUUUUUUUAUAUAGCAAAUGAUUUCAGCAUAAACCACCAUAAAACAGAGAAUGUUCCUCUGGAAAGAGAUGAGGGCACCAUAGGAAAUUAUAAGAAAAAUAACAAAUGAUCAAUGUCAUAUUUUGCUCAUUAUCACAAAGCCAGGAGCAUCAUACUUAGACAUGACAUUCUAGUACUAUUAAUGCAUGGACAGCUUAAGAACAGCCUUAAACAAAUCUUAAUAAAACCAAUAUAUAAAUUCAAUUAACAGUAAGCGUGAUAUCUACACUACAAAUAGUAAAACUUUUGUUAAUUAAGGUAUUACAGAACAAUAUUCCAAUUAAUGUUGCUUAAGAGGCACCCUUGUGGCAUUUGCUAACAUAUUCCAAAGAAUAAUUCAAUACCAGAAAUUGAUAGAUGGGUUAUUAAGUUUAAUCCAGUAAGAUAAAUGAUCAAUUUUCCCCUGCAGCUCAGUAAUUAGAAAAACGCAUAAAAACCAGAUGGGCGGUUGAAACCUGAAAACUGAGGAACUAAGGGUCAAUUUUAGCCAAAGAAACAAUUUUGUUUAGAUGUAGAAAUUACCUCUUAUGCAGCUCUAGUCCUCAAUCUGACUUAGGCAUAUGAGGAACAUUUCCUCAUGUGCCACAGAUUGUGCAUGGACAACUCAUUCUACAGUAAAUUGAACUGGCCAGAGAACUUGGCCUUGCAGGCUGCACAAGUAAAACCCAAUGAGCUUGCUUGUGCUUCAGAUUCUAGAGCCUCAUAAUGAAACUCAUUUCUGCACCAGACACAGACAUACAAAGUAGGCACACGUCGCCUGCUUGCUAUCUUUGGUAACAAAGGCAAAGCUUCCUUAUCAAGCCAAACAGAUGAAUCAAGACCUCGAGCGAUCUCUGCAUCAUAUGAAAAGACCCUGGAAUCAUCUGAAUGAGGGUUCAUAAAAUUAUAUUCCAUAUUCUCCAUGCUGCCUGAUCUCAGCCCUUCGAAACCUGAUAUACCAGAAAACUUCUCACCAAAGAAUUCAGUCUCACCCUUAUCUGACAUUACGUCAUAUGAGGGAAAACAGCUAGAUGAAUUAACAAGUCGAGAUGAAGUAUCAGCAAAACUACCAAGCAGGUCAUUUUCUUCAUCAGUUCUCCACAUAAACCCAGAUACAACAUUUUCACUAGUUUGGGUAUGACUGCUAGAACCAAUCACUGAUUCAUUCCUCCUAGGAUUUAAGUCCUGCAACCUGGGCUCCUCUUGAACUUUGCCUGUCAAAAUCCUAUUCGAAUUAUUUUCAGCACUCCAAACUUGCUCACUGCUAGAAAGACAAAGUAAGCUGUCUAUAGAAGCCCUUUUCUUCUCAUCCAGAUUGCAACUGUAAACACCAUUUAAAUUAUCUUCCAUAGAAAAUUUCUCCUGAUUCCCAGAAUUAACAAGGGUAAAAUCCUUUGAACAGCUUUCUAGCAUCGUGCUUUUCACAACAUCCACAUCCUGUUCACUGUGACCAUGGUCAAAAACAAUAAGUGGUUCACCAUCACAUUGACUUUUAAAUCCCUUAUGCUUGGACCAGUCCAUUGUGUUACAUGAGACCUUAUUCAUGUUAUUCUCAUUAAAAUGUGUUUUCACAUCAGAAGAUGGUCCACCUAAACUGCUUUCAAAAUUUCUAUCCUGCAUAAAGUUCUUUGAUGUGUCAUUCAGGACUCCAUCAUCUUUUAAAGCAAAUGUAAGCCCAUUAGCUAAUGGAAAAAGUGAAAAAUUGUUGGAACUUCUUCCCAACUCAAUAUUAGUUAUACAUCCUUCAAGUGCAUCAAUGUCUUUGCUGUGCUCACUGUUAUUAGAGCAUGGGACUUCGACAUGAUUAGGCACCUCCAAUGUACCAUUAGAAACAUUAACAUUAAUAUUUUCAGAAUCAAAGCAUUGCUGAUGUGCAUAUAAAGUAAGCUCACUGCCUUCAGAAUCCUUUUCUUGAUGGUGUAUCUUUCUUGUGCAACUGGGAUUCCCCUUCAUAUUAUUUUCAGUAAAACAAAUCUGCUCAUUCCAUGAUGGAAUAGCUGAGCAGCUUCCAUAACUACUCUCCAUAUCAUUGAUGAUCUUUGUAUCCUCAACUAUUAAAGUGCUAUUGCUACCAAAACCAACAGUUUGGACAUCAUUCCUAGACCUACCCACUACCUUAAGUUUGGGCUUGUUCACUGUUUUACCAGAAACUUGGUACAUCUUAUUGUUGGAAACACGUGCAAAAUCUGAGGAAGUUAAACCCCCUUUAGAAUCCAUUUCAUGUUUCAGCUCCACUGCAGAAGUUGAAAGCCCAUGCACAUUAUUUACUGAACCAUAUCUUUGUAAACCACCAUAUGUAACAACCAAACAGCCUUCAUAACUUUGCUCCUUGCUGUUGGUUGAAACAUUCUCUUGUGCUGAGCAACGCACGCCAAAAUCAGUUCUUAGCUUGUCUUUCCCAACAAAAACCCUGUCAUCAAUUGUCAUGCAACUUACUGUGCUAGAAUGAAGUCUAUCCUCGAUAGUUUUGCCAUCAACUGUUUUCUUUUCAGAAUGUGGGGCAAUUAAACCACUAUCAGAACCUCUCUCCUGAUAAUGCUCCUCCAUUAACCUUAUGUGUGCCUGAUCCUCAUCGUUGUCAUUUGCACAUCCUUGGUUCCUUCCAACAGCAGCAAGUGAACAACUCUGAGAACCUGUUUCCUGGCUGCCCAAGUUACUGAUUCUGCCAGUGGUGCAUUCAAUAACAUUUUUUUCAUCAGAAGAUUUAUAAACGGAAUCAUUCUCCUUAUUGGAAAUGGUUGACACUGCACCUGGAUAAACAUUAUUUCCAACAGCAUCAAUGUCAGUAACUUUAUUCAUCUUCUCUCCUUUAUCAUUGGUCGUGCUACAAACUAUAUCCUGCUUAUCACAAUAAGAUUCACCAGUCGGAUUUUCUUUUGUUUUAUAAUUUGGAACAGCAGAACUUAUUUCAUCAUUGAUUUUAAUGUCAGAAUUCACUGCAACAGCACCCAUAGCAAUUCCAAUUGAUUCUUGAAUCUUUAAAACAUCAGGAUGAACUCCUAAUAAUGGAGUGACAGGGCUCCUUUGGAUGGUCAUGAAUCCACUUGAAGCUUCAAUUCUCUUAAAAUAAUCUUUUAUGUGGUUCCCAAGGUGACCAUUAUAUCGAUGCAUUUCUUCAAAAGGUUUAUGACAAAAUUGACAUUCAUACUUUCCAUUUUUCAUUAUCACCUCCUCAUUCAUGGAUGCUCCUUGUUUAAGCCUCUUUGGAGUCCUGUGAUGGGAUGAUAGCAGAUGUUGCAGCAAGUCAUCCGGCUCAUCAAAAACCAUGAUGCAUUUGUGGCAUUUAUAUUUCCUCAGUGUUUGGACCUGCCCAGGAAUCCCUAUGUUCAACGAGGAAGAUUGCUUCUCAUCCCCAUUCUUGUCAGCUUUAAGGGUAAGAUCUGCAGCAUUCCCAGAAGAUAUUUUGUCAGUCAAAUGAACGUUGCCAUCAACAUGAUCAAAAUUUGACUGGCUUGCAUCUUGAAGUCCAAAUGAGGAAAGUAAAUAUGAUGAAACUUCCUUGCAGGACAUAAACUGCUGUCCAUUAGGGCUUAUGUAUCUUCUACAAGCAAUCCAAAAGAAGCCAGCUUUCUUCUUGAUGCAGAGCAUGAGUUUCCAACCACUUGGCAAUACAUUGCCGAGCACACUUGCGUCCACUAUCAUCUUCUUCUUUCUGCUAGUCACCCAUUCUCCCUCUAGCCCCUGCAAAAACCCUAAUAACUCUGCCUCUGUAUGCAUUCCCGCUGUUCGAAUCAUCAGUUCCCCUCCAUAUGGAUCUUCCAUACUCCCCAGUGCCACCAAGUCCAUCUUCAUUCCAUUCUUAUUCAUCGUCAACAUCUCCCCCUUCUUCUUCUCCUUAUCCACGCUUGCAUCCACACCAAUCGUCUCUCUCUCUCUUUGCUUAUUCUCAGUCUCACUCACCUGGUUGGGAUUACUACUGUCACUAUAAAAAUUACUCUCAUUUUUUCGUGGCCUGCCUCGCUUCCUCUUUUUCGUAGUAUAAUCAACAAUUGAAGUCGGAAUUGCCUGCUUCAUCACCUCUUCGCUGUCAUAAUUAGCAAUGCCGAUUGGAACAUUUUGCAAUGCCUCAUUCACAGUGGAAGGAAAACCUAGGAAUUGGUUGUAUUGGAUGGGAAUAGAAACUAGGUUAUUAUCAUUAUCAUUAUUAUUAUUAUCCUCUUUCUCAUCUGAGUGAGAAUUGGCACCAAACAGGGACUUGAGGAGGGAAAUGAUUUGAGAAUUUUCUUCAUCUAGAGUUUGGGAGACAAUGGGAGAUUCAAUUAGAGGGGAGGAAGAGAACUGAGAGUUGUUGCGAGGAGCUAAUCGGAGGCGGGAAAAGGUCUGUUUGCGGCUGCCGGCGGACUCAUUGAAGACGGAACGAUCGAUUUUGGGAGUAGCAACGUCAUCGUCGUUUUGGUGAUAGUGGAGAGAAGAGGAGUAGGAGGAACAAAGAGAGAGGGAAAGGAGUUCAGACUGGGAGAGAAGGCCAAGAUCGAUUAGAGGAAGGGAUUCUGUAUGGAGGUGGUUGAGGUGAUGGUUGGAGGCGGAGGAGUCGACGGUGGCGGUGGCCAUGACAUGGAAGAGGAAGGAAGUAGAAAGAUGAGGAAGGUGCUCAGGUGCAGAGGUGCGACUUGCGAGAAGGGAUAGAAGUUAGAAGUUGUAAAAGGGCU